rnacentral:rRNA from 1 species
AUUGAACGCUGGCGGCAUGCCUUACACAUGCAAGUCGAACGGCAGCACGGGGGCAACCCUGGUGGCGAGUGGCGAACGGGUGAGUAACACAUCGGAACGUGUCCUGUUGUGGGGGAUAACCAGUCGAAAGACUGGCUAAUACCGCAUGAGCUGGAGACAGGAAAGCGGGGGACCUGAAAGGGCCUCGUGCGAUUGGAGCGGCCGAUGUCCGAUUAGCUAGUUGGUGGGGAAAGGCCCACCAAGGCGACGAUCGGUAGCUGGUCUGAGAGGAUGAUCAGCCACACUGGGACUGAGACACGGCCCAGACUCCUACGGGAGGCAGCAGUGGGGAAUUUGGACAAUGGGGGCAACCUUGAUCCAGCCAUGCCGCGUGAGUGAAGAAGGCCUGGU